UCCUCUGGGAAACAUUAUCCUUACUUUGUGUGUGUGUGUAGUGGUGGGGAUGGGGAGAAUUCCCGGGGCAUCUACUGAUUGGCUCACCACUCUGUAUGGGCGUGGUCAGUCAAACCCCUGGAAGCUACACCUCCAGGGUCAGAGUUCACAAAGUGAGGAGCCUCACACUGCCCUGCAUGAACAACACAUGCAAGUCCUGAACAGCAGUCUUCAUGCCAACCAGAAAGAUGUGGUUACUAUGCAACGAGAUGGUAGCCUGCGGAUCCACAUUGCCUCUCCUCACCACAGCAGCCUGUACUACUGCCUCCUACUGACCGGAGGACAAACUACACUCAUCCUACCAGCUUACUCCUAAGGUGUGUGAAUUGGGAGCGGUCGCUAGGACAGGGACAUCGUAACCAUGGUGAAACAGUCAGCGUGGCAUUCCGGCAGGAUGUGGAACAAGAGGAUGAGGGUAACUCUGCCUCGACGACAAGCAUUAUUAUGGACAAAGUCAGCCCAUCUCCACCGGCCAACUCGGAGAAGCUUCAGGAGCAAAUGUCAUGAAGAGAACAGUACUUAUCCCCCCGUCCAAGCAGUGCUCGCUGUCCCUCAUCAGGCUCAACACCAUCAUGGCUGCUGCCAGCGCCGGCCCCCUCGACACCCAGAGCCCCCCGGGUAGAGACUCAGACCCUGACGAAAGGGAUACAGCAAGUCCAUUCCAGGGCCAGGAGAAACCAGUCUUUCAACUGGAGAUGUGACAGUAUUCAUAAAGCGUCUCAGUAUGGCGGCUGAUAAAUGAUCCCAUCCUGACCGGUUCAUAUAAAUCUUAAUGAUUACGAAUUAAAACGCAAAACUGUUUCUAGGUCAGCCCUCCUAGUCUUGAUAGAUGCAGCCCCUAAGCAGAAAGAUCAGGGUCAUGUUCAAUAGGGCAUACAGACACACCGUACCAAAAUAGUUUGGAACAGAAAAAAAUGAGUUUCUUACUGGACAACUUUAACAGAUAGUGCCUUGCCAUUUCACUCCAUUGCAAAACAUUUACUCAAUCACAAAUUCCCAGACAAAUUUAAGAUUUUGACUUGUCAUCAAAUCCAGCAGAUUCCAUUAAUAUUUUGUUAAAGUAAUUGGAAAUAAAACAUAAAAAAUACACACUUUGGAUGAUUGUGUUGUUAAUCCCAGUGUAUAUGGUUCUAACCUUGUCCCCAGGUUAUAAUUGUGCAAAACUCUAAUAAGCCUGGAAUAACAUCUAUAGUCUGGCCUAUGUAAGAGUGAACAAAAAAAUAUGAUUUAUUUCAUCAUUAUUUGAGCUUAGUGAAUCACACGACUGCAAGACAGGGCUCCAAAUUAGAGGUACACAAUAUGUGAGGAAGUGUUCAGA